rnacentral:rRNA from 1 species
GAUGAACGCUGGCGGCGUGCCUAAUACAUGCAAGUCGAGCGAACAGACGAGGAGCUUGCUCCUCUGACGUUAGCGGCGGACGGGUGAGUAACACGUGGAUAACCUACCUAUAAGACUGGGAUAACUUCGGGAAACCGGAGCUAAUACCGGAUAAUAUAUUGAACCGCAUGGUUCAAUAGUGAAAGACGGUUUUGCUGUCACUUAUAGAUGGAUCCGCGCCGCAUUAGCUAGUUGGUAAGGUAACGGCUUACCAAGGCAACGAUGCGUAGCCGACCUGAGAGGGUGAUCGGCCACACUGGAACUGAGACACGGUCCAGACUCCUACGGGAGGCAGCAGUAGGGAAUCUGCCGCAAUGGGCGAAAGCCUGACGGAGCAACGCCGCGUGAGUGAUGAAGGUCUUCGGAUCGUAAAACUCUGUUAUUAGGGAAGAACAAAUGUUUAAGUAACUAUGCACGUCUUGACGGUACCUAAUCAGAAAGCCACGGCUAACUACGUG